UGUGCACAUUGUUAGAGCUUGGAGUUGAGGUCACAAACUGGUCGAUGAACUCCCAAGUGUAGGUAGUGUGCUAAACGAGUGGCAAGGUUUUCGCUAACACCCCACUCUGUUCCAGUGAGUGGAGUUUGAUAGUAACCUUUGCUACAAGU
ensembl:snoRNA SNORA62 Small nucleolar RNA SNORA62/SNORA6 family